CAACCCUCAAGCCCAGCUUGGUGUUGGGGCAUUGCGGCUCGUCCGCAAGCCCUGAAAAUCAGUGGCGGGCUCGCCGUAACUCCGAGCGCAGUAGUUUAUUCUCGUUCUGGAAGAGUGGCGGGUGCCGGCCGUUAAACCCCCAAACUUUUAAAGG
rnacentral:misc_RNA from 1 species